AACACACAACAAUAUCAUCCACAACAGCCGACACAACAACGAACAACAUCGACGACAACACCAUAUCAGCACCCGACAACAUUAUCAACAACUACAGCAAUCCGUCUGAGCAACAACAAUAACAGCCACAAUUUCAACGCAACAACAGUAAAGCAAGUCAACAAUAUCAGCUAUUAAUCCAGAUUUUCCUCAAAACCAUUCGAUUUCGUAUGAAUGUGGACGGUCACGAUUGCUUCAUGCUUGAAUUUCAAAUAUUUCAUCCUCAAUUUCUUAUUCGUUUCCCCCCCCCCCCCCCCCCUCCCAAAACAUUAUUCCCAAAAUCCCUUAUAAAUACCCGUUGAGAGAUAGAAAUGGGGGAGGAGACAAUUCUUGGGGGAAAAUGUAAGGGUUUUGGAGGUGCGCACCUCUAACCCUACGUAACCAAGAUAUUUUCGGAAAACUCCCAAAGAAUUCAUCAAAAUCGUUUGAAUCUCGACGGUGAAUUGAAACUGCGGUGGAAGUCGUUCCGACCAGAGUUCUUAGUCCUAGUCGCUGAUCCAAAGAAGGUAAGAGUCUCGUUUUCUUUCUUUAUAUCAUGAUCUCAUAGUAACGAUGAAAAUUGUUUGGUCGUGUAUGUAUGAUGGUUGUUUGAUUUUUGGUGAAAACUCCUGAAUUUGAGAAGGUAUAAACUCUGUUGUAGAUGUGUGAAGUUGAAAAUCUUUAAGCCUUGAUGGUCUUCUAUGAUUACUCCCAUGCUCGAAAUUUUUAAAUGAACAAAGAUGAGAUUUUCUUUUUAUUCUCUGUUUUGGGGCAAAAUAAAACUAUUAUGUUUCUUUCGGAUUGGGUACUUGGUGUGGGGAAGAAAUGUGAAGUCUCCACUUACAGGUUACUGCACUCUUGUAAUUUUUCUUGGAUUAAAAUGAGCUUUGACUAGAGCAUAGAGUUACGUUUUAAAGAAUCCUUCGAGUCCGAAAGAAUAUUGUUUACUUGAAUUGGUCUCAUUAAUUUUUGCCUUGAUUUGAUCUGUAUACCUUUCGGAAGAUACGAAGCUUAUCGAGUCUUUUAGGUUUAUAGUGUCAAAGGGCUCGACAAAACUAAGAGGAACUAAACUAGAGACGGGCAUUCACGAUAUGCUUUUAUCUUUGGAAGUUCCUAGCUUAGAAAAGUUCCAGAUGAACAUUGAUGUUUCAUCUCAUAUUAUGUUUACUGUAACUUUCCCUANNNNNNNNNNNNNNNNNUUUAUCACCUCAAUGACAUGAGAGGAAAGAAUGUGAAACCAAGUUGAUUUUCCUUCCAUGACUAAAAUGAAGCAGUCUUUUUGUGUGUUUUGGACAGUUUUAGUUGACCUUUUCACUUACUGCUAGCUUUAUUUUGGGAACAAGAUUGCUAUUAUGUGAAAUUUAUUACAAAUUUCCACCGCCCUUGUUUGCUUUUCCCCUAGCUUCCUGUAUUCUCAAAAAUAAGUAGAAGGAAUAAAUUGACAUUUGAGAAGCUGGAUUAGCUGUUAAGGCAAUUCAUCCUGUUAGUUUCCUGUCGAUACAUUUUGUGAAAGCAUUUUUCCUUUGUUUUUGUAAAUACUAUGAAUGACUGCUAAUCUUUUUCACGUUUCUUUUCCAUGUGAAUUCAUCCGAGUCCCUCGGACUCCCAUACCUCGCAUUUCGUUGGGUUAAAUCCAACUUUCAUCGAGUCAAGACCAUACCAAGUCCACAAAAUGGAUCAAUAUACCAUAGACAUCUGCUGGUAUACAUAGUAUACAGCAGAUAUACACAGAUAUUUGGCAAGAUAUGAGAAAAAAGAAGCUGAUUAUUCAGCUGGAGGAUCAAAGGAGGCGUAUAUGACUGAUUCUCAGUCACGUAUACGUCAAUUAUGCAGAGAAAACGUGAAGAAAUUGAGCUGUGAUAUACAGCUGAUAUACACAACUGAAAGAGGGCAGAAAAAAGGCCAUUUAAAUAGGCCCAAAUCAAUGCUGUCCAGAUUUGAAAAUGGGUUAACUAAGGGCCCAAUUUUAAUUCUUGUAUUAUUUUUGGUAUAAAUAACAUAAAUACAAACCCUUUUAGUAGUAAUUACACUCUCUCCCUUUUUUUAAUUACUUUACUUUCUCUCCCUAAUAGUAUACAUAACAUAGCUGACAUAUACAUAGCAUUCUGUGUAUAUGUUGAGAUUUUUGUAAUUUGUUUAGGGAGUUGGGAUUUUUUGUAAUAUUAGAAAUAUAAGUUGUGUAUUUGUGUAAUUUUUAGUUAUUUUUGUAGCUUGUAUUGCUUAUUGUAUUAACUAAAGGAAAAACUACAUAGAGUAGCAUAACUAAGACUUACAUUAUAAAAAAUAGCAACACUUUAAUGAAAUUAUACUGUGUAGCAACAAUAGCAUUAUUUUAAAAGUUAUCCCAUACUUUUUCCACUUUAGAGAAGUUACCUCCCCUUUUCACACUUUUCUCCCUCUCUUUCCUUUAUUUUAUUUUUACUUUUCCCUUUAUUCACCCAUUAUUAGAUUACUUUUUUCCCUUUAUUCACUUCGUUAUCAAAUUGCUUUUUCACCUUUAUUGCAUGAUCUGAUGAGGAUAUUGUUCCUCUUUCUCAGGUAACUAAUUAAUUAAGUUAUUGCAUAUUUUCAGUUUCUCUUUUUUUUUCUUACUGUAAUCUAUUAGCAACUCUGACUUUAAGUUUUUAUGCUUUAAUGGUUGAACAUACACCAAAAUAGAGCUGUGCAAAAAUUGAACCGAUAAAAAUGCUAUUGGGUUAUUGGUAUUGGGUUAUUGGGUUAAUGAUUUUUUAUUGGUUUUAUAAAAAAAUUUAUUGGGUAAACGAUUCGGUAUCGGUUUUAUUUUAUUGGUUUAUCGGUAAUAAGGAUACACUAAGUUAUUGUUUUAUCCUAUUUAUGUUAUAUAUUUAAAUUUCUCUCUUUUUAUCUCUCUCUCUCUAUAUAUAGAGAUUUAUGUAUGUAAAUAGUUUAUAUGCACUACUAAUUCAUAAUUCAGUGAUUCACGUAUAUAGUUUAUAUGCAUUACUAAUUCAUAUUUCAGUGAUUCACAAAGUAUUAACCUAUUCAGGGCAACAUAGGUACAAUAUAAAGUUCGGCUAUUAUCGUAAUAAAAAGCUUGAAGCAUUUAUAGCUUCCAACAAUUAGGAUUCAAUUUUUUUCCUAACAUUCAGUUUAAGUUUGAAAAUUCUUGUAAACUAAAAUGCAUUAUGUAGGUUUUG
rnacentral:lncRNA from 1 species